AAUUAUGUAUAUAAGCGCCAGAUGCCCACAGCUCUUUUCUCGCGGUGUUUGCAAAAGUAACCGACACCUUCGGAGGCACCGCUGGGAUUCGAACCCAGGAUCUCCUGUUUACUAGACAGGCGCUUUAACCAACUAAGCCACGGCGCCCGACUUAAGUAUCUUUCCCCCUUGUUUCCCUGGCCAGGUCAGUUCCAUGGCAGGUGACUGAAUGCCAGGGUGACUUCCUCACCAACCUUUGGCCGUACUGGAAAACAGGGUAGAAGGCACGAAAUCCGCGGCUGUAACCGAGAGAGGGUGAAGGGGCGACACAGAAAUUGAAUCCUGGCAGACCGAAGGUAAGAAGAGAAAUUCUUGGAUUAUAAAAAUCGAAGGCAGGCUGCGGAAACCGCAAACCGACGAGGAUGGGAUUCGAACCCACGCGUGCAGAGCACAAUGGAUUAGCAGUCCAUCGCCUUAACCACUCGGCCACCUCGUCCACGGCUAAACGCCUUAGGAUCUCUUCUCUGGGGUCUGGACUCUUCUCAGAGUAAGCGUGAGCCCGACUACGUCGCGAAGGGAGGUGCGUCCCGAGAGAUCCCGCCCAGCAACUCGCAGGGCUCUGGUUGCCGAGCGACCUUCUUGCUUGCGCCAGCGCCCGACCCUCUGGGUUGAGCGGUACAGAGCGUGCGUCAGUCCUCAGGAGACCCGCUAUCCGCCCAGAUUUACAGUACCCGGAUCUACCACAAAAACUACCGCGAGAUCAUCGCGCUCUCCCGACGGGGCGACUAGGCACUUCGAGCCAGGACCCUCCCCUUCCGGCCCCUACGAAGUGCUUCUUUUCUGACUUCCGCGAUGGGGCUCCAACCGAGUUGAAAAUGAGAAGAAAAAUGACCAGAACUUCAGAAAGCUGACCCCGACGUGAUUUGAACACGCAACCUUCUGAUCUGGAGUCAGACGCGCUACCGUUGCGCCACGAGGUCUGCCGACUGUAGAACUGGACAGGUCUCCUCAUGACCAUUGGACGGUCAGGCUGCCGGGUCCCGAUGAUCGAGGCGCAAGAGCCGAGGGCCUUCCGGAACUUCUAAAAUCCCGCGGCGUGGUGCCUGCGCUCUCCCUCCGGCAUCGUGGGACCCGCAGGGCCCGCCGCACCCCGCAGGGCACGGCUUUGCGGCCUCCCGGCUCAGCGGUCCCUCCGACCCCGAACCCGGCCUCCUGCUGACCAGCAGGCGGCCCAGAGCUGGUUCCCUGGGGGACCCAGAACUCACAGCCCAGCGGGGACGGACUGGCACAGAAACAUGUGGAAGGACGGAUACCAGGCGGAAUGUGGCGGAGCAGUGCCAGAGCUCUGGGCGCGUAGGGUCAAGAGAUUAGCUCCCCCAGCGGCGGUCUCCUCCCGGGCUGUACACUACAGUCGCCUGCAGAACCUUCCAGAUAGCCAAGCACAGGCCCCAGAUUUGGAGAUUCUGAUUUAAAGGUCCAGGGUAAAACCCCGGCGUCGAUAACUUUGUCAAUUUUGGCAAUUCCGAGGAAUCAUUUACCUACAAUGAAAUGUACAGAUCUUAAGUGUUUAGUUUGGUGAGUUUUGACAAAGAACCAAAGAAGACCUUUCCUUCACCCUAGAAGGUUCUUUCAUGUCCCUUCCCAAUCGGUCCCCACCGCUCCCUUCCCAGAGGCAACCACUCUUCUGAUUUCCAUCGCCAUAAAUGCAGGUAUCUUUUGAAGCUCCCCAGGUGAGCCAGAGCUGGGAACUUAUGAAGAGUGAUACCAGAAGCUUGCAGAGAUCCCCCAUUUGCUUCUUGGAUGGAGUUUUGUCUCCUCAUGCUACACGCCUUCCCUGGAGUCAGCCAUCACCUGUGUGCUGAGGACUCCUGAAUCCCACUCCAGCCUCUGGAUUCAGAUGUCUAGGGCCUGCUGGACACCUUCACUUGACCCUGUCAUCCUUCUGAAACCCCGCACCUUGGGUGAGACUGGAAUCCAGUCGCACCUCAGAUGGGACUCGAAUCCACAAUCUCUGGCUUAGGAGGGGACUCAAACCCACAAUCUCCCAGCUGAAACGGCACACUUCCUCUCAGCACUUAUGAAGCUCAGGUUCUUUUUGUCUCAGCACAGAAGGAAUUCAGCAAGAAGCAAAGUGAUAGGUAAGAAGUAGAUUUAUUGAGAGAGAUACACACUCCAUAAAUGGAACGUGGGCCAUCUCAGAAAGUGAGAGCAACCAAAAUAUUAGGGUGGUUAGUUUUUAUGGGCUGGGUAAUUUCAUAGGCUAACAAGUGAGAGGAUUAUUCCAACUAUUUAGGGAAGGGCGGGGAUUUCCAGGAAUUGGGCCACCGCCCACUUUUUGUACUUUUAUAGUUGUCCUCGGAACUGUCAUGGCGCCUGUGGGUGUGUUAUUUAGCGUAUGCUAACGUAUUACAGUGAGCCUAUAAUGAGGCUCAAGGUCUACUGGAAGUGGAAUCUUCUGCCAUCCUGGACCUAGUUGGUUCUAACCAUUUUAUGUCAUAUCCUCAACGACUGUGCCAUUCUUUUAACGGUUGUGCCCUGCCCCCUUCCCUCCUGUUUCACCAUCACCUUCGGAUUCAAAUCCUAAUUUAUUGGCUGGGCCCCCAAGGCCAAGUGCUUCUUAAGCAUGUGGGUCCAGGAACCAGGUUGCCAGUGUUCAUAAGCAGGCUUUGCUAAUACUAGUUGUGUAUCUUGAGCUUGUUAUUGAACCUCUCUGUAUUUCAAUGUCCCUACCUGUAAAAUAGUAAAGAUUAUAAUAGUAAAGAUAAAAAUAGUAAAGAUUAUAGUAGGUAAGUAUUAGAACAUGGCUGGUAAUCACCACUCAAUUAUUAUGGUUGUUGUUAUAAUAACUCUCUGGUGCUUGCAUGAUUCUUCAGCCACUGCCUCCUCCCCUCCCGUGUGACAGCGCUGCUGACUUAUUUACAGUCGCCUAAACUCACCUUGGUCACAGCUGUCUCUGUGCCACUGUCCCUGGUAUUGCUUGAUGGUCUUCCUGAAAUGGAGCAGGACCCUGCGGGGCCCUCCUGGGCACAAAUUUUCCUUGUGCCCUGUUUCCCCAUUAGCAGGAAAUAGGCUUCAUUCAACCUCCCUGACCUUCCCUGGGUACCAAAAGGGCAGAUUCUAAUAGUUGCUAAUCAAGGAAGGGAAGGAAUGUAGAAACAAAGGAGGAGCAGUCAAGAAACAAUAGUGCAGCAGCAUGGGGCAGGGUCCUGGUUCCUCCUCAAGGAAAAUAUAUUGCAAUAUAUCUUUGAGCUCAUCUGAAGGAACAAAGACCCCCACCCAGAUGGAGGAUGGUAACUUCAGGCUGAGCACAAUACUACUGGAACACCACCCUGUUACCUCACCACCAACGAAUCAGAAGAAAGUCUGAACACAGUGGAAGAUAACAAAGACUUCGACCCCCUCCCCUAAUGAUUGCCUGCAAUUAGCUUUCCCUAUAUCCCUUUAAAAACUUUCACGGUCCAGCAGAAUCUUCAGAGUUGGUUCUUGGACAUGAGUCUGCCUUCUCCCCAGGUUGCCGAUCUCCUGAAUAAAGCAAGCUUUCCUUUCCAGCCAACACUUGUCUCUCAAGUAUUGGCUUUAGCCAAACCUGAGUUCGGCAAUAUUCUCAGUCCUUCUUUACCUGGCUGACCCUUACGUACCCCUCCAGACUCAACUGAGAAGCUCUCUCUUCCCCAAUUCUUCCCCCACCUGGGGAAGGAGGUCCUUCCUGUGUCUCCUCCAAGGUAACACUUAAAAUGCCACCUUUUAAUUUUUUGCCCAGUUGUUUCCCUUACUACACUCUAAGUUACUCAAGAGUAGGGAAUAUGCAUUCCUAGCACCCAGGAAUAUGGUGUGUAUUUAAUAAGCAUUUGUGAACUCAGUGAGGGAUAGCUUUAGCAGAAGUACUAGAGUGGGCAAGAGACUGGCUUGUAGAGGAAGGAGUCUGGGUAGUUGAAGAGCAUGGAGUGAAGUGGAAAUUGUUGCUAGGAGGGGAGGUUGAGUCAGUGAAUAUGGUACCAGGGAAUGGGAACGUGGACUUGAUCUCUAGGCUCAGAGAGUUCCUGCAGCAAGUGAGAAGUAUGAUUAAUCCAGUGUCACUAUCCGGAGUACUCUCUGAUGUUGAAAUCUCCAUUCAACCUAUCAGUUUCCAAAUUUUUUUUCUAAUUGUGUUUUUUUUUAAUCAUUUCAAGAAACACAUAUUUAUUUAUUUUUGGCUGCGUUGGGUCUUCGUUGCUGCGAGCCGGGGCUACUCUUCACUGCGGUGCACGGGCUUCUCCUUGCGGUGGCUUCCCUUUGUUGUGGAGCACAGGCUCUGGGCGUGCAGGCUUCAGUAGUUGUGGCUCGUGGACUCAGUAGUUGUGGCUCGCUGGCUGUAGAGCACAGGCUCGGUAGUUGUGGCGCACGGGCUUAGUUGCUCCAUGGCGUGUGGGAUCUUCGCGGACCGGGGCUCGAACCCGUGUCCCCUGCAUUGGCAGGCAGAUUCUUAACCACUGUGCCAGCAGGGAAGCCUUCAGUUUCCAACUUUUAGAAACCAAUAAAUUAUUCUGUCCAGAGAUGCAUUGUUACAUAUGGUAGCCACUAGAGUGGCUAUUCAAUAUGGGGCUAUUCAAAUCAAGUUAAAUUUUAAAAAUUCAGUCCCUUAGUCCAAAUAGCCGCAUUUCAAGUGUUCAGUAGCCACAGGGAGCUAGCUGGCCACCAUACUGGACCGAGAACAAUAUGAAGUAUUUCCAUCAUCAUGGAAAGUUCUGUUGGACAGUGCUGAUCCAAAACUGAGACAAUCUGAGACUCAAAAAGAAUAACAACUGCAAUGCACUGAAACACACAAAAGAUGCUAAAAUCUAACAACUAAAAACAACUAAUUAGUCACUUUGGGAGGAUACUGGGGAACCAUUAUUCUGAAAACUGGUAAAUAAUGGAGUGAAAAUCACACAUUUAUCCAACCUUUCCUGUAUGACCUGUAUCUCAUGGUAAACAAUGAGUCGAUAAGGGCACAUUCUUAUUUACAGGAGAAUCCCAGGUGACAAAUGCAGAAGGAAUGAUAGAAUUAGGACAUCCCCAGUUUGCAACCCCCCCUUGAAAUAAUGGAGCUAGGCAGUGACGAUUAAUUAAACCAGUAGGUGAGAAAGUGAUGGGGAACUUUACAAUGGUUGCCUCAGUCGGACUACACCAGAACCCACUGCUCAGAUUAAAGACCAGAGACAAGCAAGCAUGAUGCGCUGCCUGUUAAAAGUCCAAGGCGCAAUCAUAUACAUUUUCAAGACAAGGGAUCAUACAUCAAAAUGACAUACUGAUGUAUUACAUAAAGUUCACCAAGGUACAUAGUCCAGGUAAGCACUUACAAAGUGACCGGCAAGUCACCAUGACGCCCUACAGAGUUGGGAAAGAAUGCUAUUCUUUUAAGAAGUUAAAAAAAAAAAAAAGUUACACUUCUAGCAUCAGAAGAAAGGGGGAAAAACUGAUCUUUACAGUUGAGCAGCCACUUCUGUCUUUGAGGAGCUCUGGCUAAUGUGUAAUGCAGAUGCACACUGCACAUUAGGGAGAGAGGGAGGAGGCCCAAACAAACACACAGAGAGAAUUUUAUGUUUAGUUUCUCUUGUCCCGCCUUAAAAUAUAAAUUUUAUUUCAUCACCAGAAUGAGGGAAUUCAAGGCUAAGAAAGCUGUAUAACAAAAGUCUUCAUUGGUCAGCUACCCCUAACACAAGCCCCUUUGUUAAAUCUUCACAAAUAAUAUUUAUUUGUCAAAACAUGAUAUAUAAACAGCCUGCUUUGGUCACUUCGGUGGUCACCUUUCUAUGAGACUUCCCUGUGUAUGAAUUAAAUUGGUUUUUUCCUCCUGUUAA